UCCCUCGAGCCGGAUUUGAAAUUUGAACCAGAACCAGCGACCUAAGGAUCACCGUUGUAACAUCUACAGUCCUCCGCUCUGCCAACUGAGCUAUCGAGGG